rnacentral:lncRNA from 1 species
UUAAUUAUACUUUUUAUCGGAGGUCUUGGUUGAGAUGAAAAAGGUAGUGUCAGUGCAGGAUUUGAGCCCAAGGCCUUCGGCUCAAUAGUCUCUCUAAUCGUGGUGGUUGUCUGGGUCAGGAAUCACAUAAGUCUGCAGAGUGAAGGGUGACGAAGCAGCUAAGGCCAAGACGUCCCAACUUCAGACCAAUCACUAUAAUCCAUCCCUCUGACACUUCAGAUGCGAUAAAAAUAUGACUAAGAGGAAGGAGCAUGGUCGAUGGAUGGCCCUCACAGGAUCUCAAUAGUAGAAAAAAAUCCUCACCAUCCUCAUCCGAUUUCGAAUAGACCAUGCUAAGUUGACACAUGAACAAUUAAGAAUUUAGAUUCAGGCCCGAGCUUUUCCUCUUCCAGUACGAAUCUAAGCCUUCACACCAAAGAUGACAUGUUCCAGUGCCUCUUCUUCUUCCUGGCAAUAUCUGCAAAGGGUUGUUUCCACCACUCCGAGUUUAUACAUAUGCCUCUGGAGUCUGCAAGGUCCAGUUAGCAGUUCAACUAUUAUUUUAGUCCUAACACAUUCUAGAAAUUCUGCCUUUGUUUCUAUGAACUAUUUCACAUGUUUCUGUCCUGUCCUACAUGACGUGUUCCCUGAACGAAGUACCUUUCUUAAUCCAUUGUCUGAUGGAUCCACAUUUUGGCAGUUUGGUAUGUCACAAAAGGGGCCAAUAGGUGUCUUCGAACUUUCCUUUGCCAAUUUAUGGUCACUUUGUUGCCCCACUACCCUGUGUGCCCUGGUACCCAGACAAGGAUAAUUUUGUUGUUUUCUCCAAUCUCUGACAAGGCCUUAAUUCAAUCUGAAAUGACUAGACUUUCCCACCAAUUGCCCUUAGUGCCACCUGGCUCUCCGAAUAGAUGGCUAUUCUUCUAUUAACAGUACCUAGCCUUUUAAUCUCCUUGGCACAAUGUUCUUCAAUAGCUAGUCUCCACAUGAAUGAUAGUGGCAUAUUGCCAAAAGCCAAUAUGAAUUCUAGUCUUAGGUUUAUUUCCAUAAAUAUCAGCUCCUGACCAAUACUCGAUUUUGAGCCAUCUUUGACCAGAUAUGGUCUUCUCUAGGUAUUUUAAUUUUUUGUCAAAUUUGAACUUGGGAGUCAUGACAUCAACAGGCAUCACCCUGCCUGAAGCUCCCUUUAAAACUUCAUGGACACUUCAGUGAAGGGUGCCAUUCCUUGGUUCCUUCCUUGGAAUACUUAUGAAAAACGAUAUCAGGACAUUAUACUAUUUUAUCCUUGCCAGAAGAGCAGCCCUCCUGUUAGAAACCUGCAAUUGAAAACAAAUAAUUAUUACAGCAUAUUUAAAUAAUCUAAGAGGGGUGGCAGUGACUGCAAUGGUUUGGGCGUUGACACAGCGCUCAUAACUAUAAGGGUUCACAACAUCAGAGGUCAUAUAAACCCUCAGGGUGCUGGUGUUUUUGAAAAAAAAAAUUUGUAAGUAUGUCGGAUUCGAAUGCAGGGCCGCUGGAUUCGAACCCAGGACCUUUACUUUACAGUGAUGAGCGCCGUGUCAAAGACUAAACCUUGCGGCCACCGACGCCCCACACACCUAUUUCCUAACUACCUAAACAUUUAAUUAUUAAUUACAUAGCCAACAGUAAAUUCGUUUUACAGAAGAUGGCAUAAGAUCACCUUUAAUAAGAAACGAUGCCCUGGAGCUAAAUGAAUACAACUAUGCGAAGAAAUAUUGUAAAUAGAAAAUUAUAUGCAAUAAAAUUCAUACAUGCGUACAUUUAAUGUAUAAAC